rnacentral:rRNA from 1 species
GAGAUCGUGAGGAGCGAUGGCUGGCACUGCCCAGAUGUAGGAGGAUGACAAUUACGUAGAUACUCGGGAGGAUGACCGGUGGCGCAUGCAGCCCAUCAUGGAUCUGGUGCUGACGCUGAGGCGCGAAAGCGUGGGGAGCAAACACGAUUAGAUACCCUUGUAGUCACGCAGUAAACGAUGAGUGCUAGAUGUCGGGGGUUCACCCUCCGGUGUCGCAGCUAACGCUUUAAGCACUCCGCAUGGGGAGUACGGUCGCAAGAUUAAAACUCAAAGGAAUUGACGGGGGCCCGCACAAGCGGUGGAGCAUGUGGUUUAAUUCGAAGCAACGCGAAGAACCUUACCAGCCCUUGACUUGGGGAGUGUGGGUCGCAGAGACGUGACCCUUCAGUUCGGCUGGCUCCCACACAGGUGCUGCAUGGCUGCCGUCAGCUCGUGUCGUGAGAUGUUGGGUUAAGUCCCGCAACGAGCGCAACCCUCAUCUUCAGUUGCCAUCAUUAAGUUGGGCACUCUGAAGAAACUGCCGGUGACAAGCCGGAGGAAGGCGGGGAUGACGUCAAGUCCUCAUGGCCCUUACGGGCUGGGCUACACACGUGCUACAAUGGCGGUGACAGUGGGAUGCAAGGGGGCGACCCUGCGCCAGUCUCAAAAAGCCGUCUCAGUUCGGAUUGCACUCUGCAACUUGAGUGCAUGAAGUCGGAAUCGCUAGUAAUCGUGGAUCAGCACGCCACGGUGAAUACGUUCCCGGGCCUUGUACACACCGCCCGUCACACCAUGGGAGUUGGUUUUACCCGAAGCCGGUGCGCUAACCGCAAGGAGGCAGCCGACCACGGUAGGGUCAGCGACUGGGGUGAAGUCGUAACAAGGUAACCA